rnacentral:tRNA from 1 species
UCCCUGGUGGCUCAGAUGGUAAAGAAUCUGCCUGUGAUGCAGGAGACCCAGGUUCCAUCCCUGGGUCUGGGAA